UCAAAGUAUCAAGCUUGGCUUGUUGUUGGGCCCUUUGUCACCUGGUGACAGGUCCAAAAGAUAAUGACCGGUGUCAUACAGACUCCCUAUGCAACGAGCUUAUAACGGCACGCAUCUGGUGGUUAUGUGACCCGGUUUGCAUCCUUUUCCUUCUCAA
rnacentral:misc_RNA from 1 species